AACCAUAGAAACCUGCGGAGUACCUGCGGAGGGAUCAUUAUAGUUUAUGGAAUCUCCAUUCUAUAAACCCACUCUGCGUAUCUUGUAACUGUUGCUUCCAUGGGACUUGGUUCCGCCACACCGGCUUCACGGCUGGUGAGCGCCCAUGGAAGGAGAAACAAAACUCUUCUUUGAAAUGUAGUCAGUCUGAACAAGUUUUUAUAAACGUUAAAACUUUUAACAAUGGAUCUCAGAUCGGAA
rnacentral:misc_RNA from 1 species